rnacentral:rRNA from 1 species
UACACUUGACAUCCUCACAACUUACCCUAAAUGGAUGGGUGCCUUCGGGAACUCUGAUAC